CCCCUACUACUCUCAAGACGUCUAGACCCGCUCCUUUAAGAAACAACGCCGCCGUCUCUUUCUUCGUCGAGAAGUCCCACGGAUUGAGGCCCUAAAGAUCCAAGUGAGGGAAAAGUUACAUUUUUACAACUCACUCCCCCAGAAUUACGUAUAUGCGUCGUUCUCCGUCCAGCACAAUGAAUAAACAUUCUUAUGGAUUAGGCGAAUCCUGAAAAAUCAAGAGUCUUAGAAUGUCACGCAUUCCGGCAUCCUUAUACAUUCAUUCAAAUGUAAAUGCCGUGCCGAUUAUGCUUCGCUACAUUGUACGCAGAGAGAAUGUUCUGUGAAUGAUUUAGAACAACCAUAACGAAGGACAUGUUAGGUUAAAGAAGAGAAAUUAAAUAUAAGGGAACAGGUGGAAGAAAGAAGAAAAAAAAGAAUACAAGAAAAUGGAAACGUUAGCGUACAGCCGAUACAACGACCUCGUGGCUAUGUCAAAGUUAUACCCAACCAAGAGAUGCUGCUGCGGAUACCAGCUUUUAAUUCAGACGCAGAACAACAAGCGUCCAUUCAAAAAUCCAAUCGAAUGACACGAUGACUUUCUCAGUUGGGUCCAACUGGGCAUUUACAUUACGUAAUUGGUGAGGCGCAUUCGCAAAGAUAUUCAACGGUCCUCAUUUAACCGACCAGUCUCCCGUGGCCCAAUUUAUCUCUAAUCUUUUACACUGUUUGGAGAAAUCUGCGUGGUUCGUCGUACACUGUUACUCAACGACUGUAUAAAAGGUGUCCUUUUAGUCACAGUUGAGGAACGACAUAAACGUAAAGGUCUUUACGUCUUUCUGUAUGGCGUAUUAUAAAAUCUUGGUCUCUUAAGCUAUCAUGAGUCAUGUCAAUACUUUUAAUUUUUUUUAUACUCAAUAUAUAUAUAUAUGUACGCACACGUACAUCACAAAGAUACUCUGCUCGUAUAGUACUUAAUUAUUUAUACUUCUAGUCUUAUGGUAUGAAUACAUAUUCGAAACACGAUUCUGUCCUAGAAAUUAUGAUUAUUAUUAUUAUCAACAGUAGACUAGUCAUUUCCUGAAUUCUUCCUAGUAGUACACAAUGCUUCCAAGUGUUACGAAAGUCUUGUUAAAAAUUGCGACGUAGAAGUAGGUACUUACUAUUGUCAAAUAAUAACCUAUGACUCUGUUAUAAAAUGUCUGCUUUAAAUUGCCCAA